UUAUUUAAUCCAUUUUUAAUACCCGUGUUCUAAGAGUUAGAAGUUGUUUUGAUCAAUUAUAUAUACCUUUUUUGGUAGUAUGCAAAACGUAAACAAAGUUUCAGAUGUUGUUGUGUUUGGUGGAACGCAUGGGAACGAGUUGUCUGGCAUUUGUUUAGUUAAGAAAUGGUUAUCUGGUCCACCAUUACAAUCUGCAACUUGUAAAGUGACAGCUACAUUAUGUAAUCCAGAGGCUAUUCGGUUGUGCAGGCGGUACAAAGAUUGUGAUAUUAAUCGACAAUUCACUAGGGUUGAUAUUAAUAAAGUCACUAAUGCAGAAGAAAAUUUGCCAUAUGAAGUAAAACGGGCUAAAGAAUUGUUCUCCCAAUAUAGUGAUUACAGCGGAGAAAGAAUAAUACUAGACCUGCACAAUACCACAGCUAACGUAAAACUAUGUUUGAUUGUUGAAAAACCAACUGAUUACUUUGCUUUGCAUAUGUGUAGAUACAUUCAGCAACAUUUUUCUGCCGAUUUUUGUCACAUUCUGCUGCAAGGUAAAAGCUAUGGUGAUGUUCGGUAUAUAGCAAAACAUGGGAUUGGUAUUGAAGUUGGUCCUCAACCCCAUGGUGUACUACGAGCUGAUAUCUUUGAUCUACAGGAAAAGGCCGUCAAACUUUCCUUAGCGUUUUUAGAUAAGUUUAACAACGGCGACAUUUUCAAUCCCUGUGAAAUUGUUACUUACACUCAGUUUAAAAAGGUAGAUUUUCCUCGCGAUCAUGAGGGCAACAUAGCUGGAAUGAUACACCUCGAUCUUCAAGAUAGAGAUUGGCAAUCGGUAUCCGGGUCCAGCAUGGUAUUUCGUACUUUCCAAGGAGACAAUGUCACUUUAGAAGAUGUUGUUAAAAUUCCAGAUGAAAUAAAAGACUUAGUUUACCCAGUUUUUGUUAAUGAAGCUUCUUACUAUGAGAAAGACCUUGCAUUUUGGUUAACAAAAAAGGCCACUGUAGCUCUUCCAAUAUUAAAGCUUAAUUAAGAAAACAAAUCAUAAAUAAUUUACCUUAUCUUCAUUAGAUAGAAUCUAGAAUGAUUAUUAACUACAAUCGCGUUUGUUCCAUAGCAUGGACUCCAUACAGUGUAUUACACUGUCUUUUUGCUAUGUUAAUCACUGUCCAGAAUGUUUUAUAUGGCCAGGGAAUCAGCCAUUUAUGACAAAUUUCUUUUUCUAAGUUUUACUAUUUUAAGUUAUUGUGUUAUGAACAAAUUUUUUAAAUUUAUAUGCAUUAUGCAUUAUGAAAUUUUUACUCUAAGAAUUUUUACCCUUAACAGUAAUAAUUUAUACUUGAACUUUUGCAAUAUUAUUUUCUACGUAUAAGAAAGGCUUAUAUUUUAACUGUACUGCAGAUUACAACUUUUUUUUCAUAUAUCGUGUAAACUAAAAGAUCCUUAAUAUUAUAGUAUUUAAAAUAUACCACCCAAGAGAAAUCCAAUAAUAUAAACAAGUUUAAAUUACCAUAUUAAUAUGCACUAAUUUAGUUUUACUUUACUUUCAUUUCAGCUGGAAUAGCGCAGUCGUUACUAUACUUUGCUAAAUACAACGUAUAUCCAAGAACAUUGAUUGU